UGUGUUUUGCGAAAAAAAAAUUAUUAAAAAAAAUCAGAUUUCAUCAAAAGUUGCAUCCCGCUAGAGGAAAAAAAAAAUCGCUGCAUCCCGCCGAAGGAAAUCGAUUGGAGAAAAUCACUGGUUGGAGAACAUCACCAUCCGAACUAAAUCGAUUUCACAUCUUAAUCCAUCCUAAUCCAGAAAAUUUUGACAAAAACGAGGAUGUCCACAUUGUCAUGUAAUAUGAGCCAUGGGAGUUGGCCAAGGCCAGAAGUCGUGGUUUGUAAUCAUGGAAUUGAAGCUCAAGUUGUAACAUCGAAGACGGAUGCCAAUUCUGGACGACAUUUCUAUCGGUGCUAUAUUUGGAAGGAGGACGACCACAAGUUCUUCCUCUGGAUUGAUCCAUCUUUGAACUAUGUCUAUGAUUUGCAUCGACAGAACCGGAACUUGAAGUAUGCCAUUUUGUGUUUAUGUGUUGUGGUUUGGCUUCUUAUCUAGACUAUAAUAGUCCAGAUUAUGUAAUAGUCUAAUGUAUUUCAACUAUGUCUAUGAUUUUACAUUGAAGUUUAAAUGUAUCCUCAAAUUUAUCUUCGUUGUAGACUUUAUGAAAUUUUCAAUGCAGAUGCAGUGUUAACUUAAUUAAUUUA